CACGUAGGGUGCGAGCGUUGUCCGGAAUUGUUGGGCGUAAAGAGCUCGUAGGCGGUUUGUCGCGUCGGCCGUGAAAACCUGCAGCUUAACUGUGGGCUUGCGGUCGAUACGGGCAUCACUGGAGUUCGGCAGGGGAGACUGGAAUUCCUGGUGUAGCGGUGAAAUGCGCAGAUAUCAGGAGGAACACCGGUGGCGAAGGCGGGUCUCUGGGCCGAUACUGACGCUGAGGAGCGAAAGCGUGGGGAGCGAACAGG
rnacentral:rRNA from 1 species